rnacentral:rRNA from 1 species
CACGGGUACUCGAGUGGCGAACGGGUGAGUAACACGUGGGUGAUCUGCCCUUCACUUCGGGAUAAGCCUGGGAAACUGGGUCUAAUACUGGAUAGGACCAUCGUUUAGUGUCGGUGGUGGAAAGUUUUUCGGUGGAGGAUGAGCUCGCGGCCUAUCAGCUUGUUGGUGGGGUAAUGGCCUACCAAGGCGACGACGGGUAGCCGGCCUGAGAGGGUGGACGGCCACAUUGGGACUGAGACACGGCCCAG